rnacentral:sRNA from 4 species
AUAUCUUUCUGUACGGGAAGGAUGAGAAGCUUCGACUAAGGUUCGAUUCGAGCGCAGCGAGAAAGCGUUGCCGCAGGCAACGACCCGAAGGGCGAAGCGCGCAGCGCUGAGUAAUCCUUCCCCCACCACCA